UUUCACAUGCAAGUCCUAAGGUACAGGGAGCUUGCUCCGCUGACGAGUGGCGAACGGGUGAGUAAUGCAUCGGAACGUACCCAGUCGUGGGGGAUAACGUAGCGAAAGUUACGCUAAUACCGCAUACGUCCUGAGGGAGAAAGCGGGGGACCGUAAGGCCUCGCGCGAUUGGAGCGGCCGAUGUCGGAUUAGCUAGUUGGUAGGGUAAAGGCCUACCAAGGCGACGAUCCGUAGCGGGUCUGAGAGGAUGAUCCGCCACACUGGGACUGAGACACGGCCCAGACUCCUACGGGAGGCAGCAGUGGGGAAUUUUGGACAAUGGGCGAAAGCCUGAUCCAGCCAUGCCGCGUGAGUGAAGAAGGCCUUCGGGUUGUAAAGCUCUUUCAGCCGCAAAGAAAUCGCGCAGGAUAAUACUCUGCGUGGAUGACGGUACCGGAAGAAGAAGCACCGGCUAACUACGUGCCAGCAGCCGCGGUAAU
rnacentral:rRNA from 1 species